UUAUUAAAAACAUGUYUUAUUGAUAAUAAUUUUAAGUCAGGCCUGCCCAAUGAUAAAUAUUUAAUGGCCGCAGUAAAUUGACUGUGCAAAGGUAGCAUAAUCAUUAGUUUUUUAAUUAAAAGCUGGAAUGAAGGGUUUGAUGAAAAAAUAUCUGUCUCUAUUUAAUUAUUUUUGAAUUUUAUUUUUAAGUGAAAAAGCUUAGAUUAAUAUAAAAGACGAGAAGACCCUAUAGAGUUUGAUAUUUAUUUUAGUAUAAAUUAUUUAGAAUUUUAAGUUUUAUUUAAAUAAGUAUUUAAUUGGGGUGAUUAAAAAAUGUAUAAAACUUUUUUUAAAAAAAAUCAUUAAUUUAUGAUUAUAUGAUCCUUUUUUAGAGAUUAAAAGAUAAAAUUACCUUAGGGAUAACAGCGUAAUUUUUUUUUAAAGUUCUUAUUGAAAAGAAAGAUUGCGACCUCGAUGUUGGAUUAAAARAAAUUUUUGGKGAARAAGCUAAAAAAUUAGGUCUGUUCGACCUUUAAAAUUUUACAUGAUCUGAGUUUAAACCGGUGUGAGCCAGGUCGGUUUCUAUC
rnacentral:rRNA from 1 species